UCGUCGAGUAGGAGAAGAACCUCGGCCUCCGGCAUAACCGUCGACGUGUCUCCUCUGUCCAUUAGCCAUCACGCGCUCGCCUCGCUUCUCGCUCGAAUGGAUCUCGGCCCUGGAACGUGACGUAAUGAGGUAAUACUUAAAUUACGUCCACGUGGUAUGGAAGUAUCGACAGAUACAGAGAGAGAGAGAGAGAGAGAGGAAGAGGGAGAGCGGGGUCUUUGGCGUGGAAAGCCGUUGGCGGAUGGGCAGAACUAGGCCGCAAACAAUGGCCCCUGCCUCUCGUUAACGACGCCACACAACCGUCUGUUCCACAGCAUCGUCUAGCACAGUCCCCGCUCUGCACUGCGGCGAGUCUCCACCGUGUUGCGUGCCGCGAUUAUCGAGUUUGGCGCGAGUUUCGUUUUUUUUCUCUCUCUGAUAAACGGAUGAAAUGGAAACAAUGGAAUUUGUGCUGUGAAAAAUGAACGAUUUUCGACGAAUUUUUUUUUUUUUUUUUUCGGAUUCGAGGAGGAUAGUUUUGUUACUCGAAUCAUGUUCGACGGUAAUCGGGUCGUUAGAAAUUUUCCCGUAGUUUGGAAUAGACAGUUUUCUCCGAGGAAAUGAAUAACGUCCGUGUGGCUGGCUAUCGUUUGUUCGAUCCUUCCGAGGAUAAAGGGCCAAUUUUUCUCCGAGAAAUUGGAUUUUCUCUAACAAUGGAGUCGACGUGCUCUUGACGUCGUGAUGUAUUUGAUAGCACUUGUAAAACCUGACCGUUUUCCUUCGAACGAAAACCAAUAGACCUUUGAUUGUCCAAAUGGUACUACUACAAACUUUAUUUAUCAACCUAAAAAAAGGAAAGAAGAGAGGAGAAAGAAGGGG